rnacentral:rRNA from 1 species
AAUAGGCUAAUUAAGAGCGUAAGGGGAAUGCCUUGGCUCUCAGAGGCGAUGAAGGACGUGAUAAGCUGCGAUAAGCUUUGGGGAGUGGCACAAACACUUUGAUCCGAAGAUUUCCGAAUGGGGCAACCCGGCAUAUUGAAGAUAUGUCACACUGUAAAGUGAGCAAACCUGGUGAACUGAAACAUCUAAGUAACCAGAGGAAUAGAAAACAAAAGUGAUCCCGCUAGUAGUGGCGAGCGAACGUGGAACAGCCCAAACCUAUGUUGUUACGGCAAUAUAGGGGUUGUAGGACCUCAACAUUUAAUGCUAAAAGAACUAGAAUUUACUGG